rnacentral:rRNA from 1 species
UACGUAGGGGGCAAGCGUUGUCCGGAAUCAUUGGGCGUAAAGCGCGUGUAGGCGGUUCGGUAAGUCCGCUGUGAAAGUCGGGGGCUCAACCCUCGAAGGCCGGUGGAUACUGUCGGGCUAGAGUGCGGAAGAGGCGAGUGGAAUUCCUGGUGUAGCGGUGAAAUGCGCAGAUAUCAGGAGGAACACCAAUUGCGAAGGCAGCUCGCUGGGACGUUACUGACGCUGAGACGCGAAAGCGUGGGGAGCAAACAGG